rnacentral:piRNA from 1 species
AUGGAUCGCCAGGUAGACCAUGCAGA